rnacentral:rRNA from 1 species
GUCUGUGGGCUUAUCAGCCUGAAUACCACUGACCCUGUCUGAUCUCGGAAGCUAAGCAGGGUCGGGCCUGGAAUUGGCAGGUUCCCCGCAAAAC